rnacentral:lncRNA from 1 species
GGGGGAACCGGCCGAACCAUCAGCCCGACGGGACGGGAGGGAGCACCCUCGGGGCGGGAAGACGAGCCCCCGGCGGCGCGUGACAGGGCGAAGCGAGGAGUGAGCUGACACUAAACUGAGCUAACCAGGCCCAUUCCUGCACAGUUGAUCUUGAGCAAAAACGUCACCGCAGCAGCAGCAGCAGCAGCGGCAGUGGCGGAGGCAGUGGCAGCGGCAGCAGUAGCAGCAGGGACACCGGGGGAUGGAAUUGCGCAGCCCCUCUGCAUGAGCAGAGAUGCAACUGUGAGGAACAGAAAAUAGAGCUGAGGAAAUCAACCAGAUUCCCCUGCCCAGCCAGGCCAGAGCCGUCAGGAAAGAAGGUCUAGUUGAAGGCUCCUCACAGAGGUGCCAGGCCUUCCUGAUGAGAUGUGUCCUGCCCCAGAGGGCUCCGGG